rnacentral:lncRNA from 1 species
UAGUCUUUAAAGGUCAAAGUUGAGGCCUAGUUGAGAAGAAUGUACAGUGGAGCCUGGCUAGAGUUUGGUCAAGGAGAGAAUCGUUUACAUUUGACAUAGCAGACAUAGUGCGGCAGGCCAGGUCUCCCUAAUGGCUGAACAGGCAGGCCUCCAUGACAACGGUUUUAGCACUGACUGAGUGGUUAAGUUAAAUAUUAAAAGCAAAAAAAAAAAAAAGCCAGUGCCCUUAUACAAAGGCUGGAAUGUAACCAAAGCCCACCAAGGGUAUGUCUUUAAAUGCAUGCACAC